AACGAACGCUGGCGGCAGGCCUAACACAUGCAAGUCGAGCGAAGCCUUCGGGCUUAGUGGCGGACGGGUGAGUAAUGCCUAGGAAUCUGCCUGUUAGUGGGGGAUAACUCGGGGAAACUCGGGCUAAUACCGCAUACGUCCUACGGGAGGAAGUGGGGGAUCUUCGGACCUCACGCUAACAGAUGAGCCUAGGUCGGAUUAGCUAGUAGGUGAGGUAAUGGCUCACCUAGGCGACGAUCCGUAACUGGUCUGAGAGGAUGAUCAGUCACACUGGAACGGAGACACGGUCCAGACUCCUACGGGAGGCAGCAGUGGGGAAUAUUGGACAAUGGGGGAAACCCUGAUCCAGCCAUGCCGCGUGUGUGAAGAAGGCCUUAUGGUUGUAAAGCACUUUAAGCGAGGAGGAGGCUACUGAGACUAAUACUCUUGGAUAGUGGACGUUACUCGCAGAAUAAGCACCGGCUAACUCUGUGCCAGCCGCCGCCGUAAAAC
rnacentral:rRNA from 1 species